UACGUAGGGUGCAAGCGUUGUCCGGAAUUAUUGGGCGUAAAGAGCUCGUAGGCGGUUUGUCGCGUCUGCUGUGAAAACCCGAGGCUCAACCUCGGGCCUGCAGUGGGUACGGGCAGACUAGAGUGCGGUAGGGGAGAUUGGAAUUCCUGGUGUAGCGGUGAAAUGCGCAGAUAUCAGGAGGAACACCGAUGGCGAAGGCAGGUCUCUGGGCCACUACUGACGCUGAGAGACGAAAAGCUAGGGGAGCGAAUGGG
rnacentral:rRNA from 1 species